rnacentral:rRNA from 1 species
UACGUAGGCAGCAAGCGUUGUUCGGAAUUAUUGGGCGUAAAGAGCUCGUAGGCGGUUUGCCAAGUUUGGUGUGAAAUCUCCCGGCUUAACUGGGAGGGUGCGCCGAAUACUAGCAGGCUAGAGUACGGGAGAGGAAAGCGGAAUUCCUGGUGUAGCGGUGAAAUGCGUAGAUAUCAGGAGGAACACCUGCGGUGUAGACGGCUUUCUGGACCGAAACUGACGCUGAGGAGCGAAAGCGUGGGUAGCAAACAGG